UACGUAGGGUGCAAGCGUUGUCCGGAAUUAUUGGGCGUAAAGAGCUCGUAGGCGGUCUGUCGCGUCUGCUGUGAAAACUCAGGGCUUAACCCUGAGCUUGCAGUGGGUACGGGCAGACUAGAGUGCGGUAGGGGAGACUGGAAUUCCUGGUGUAGCGGUGAAAUGCGCAGAUAUCAGGAGGAAUACCGGUGGCGAAGGCGGCUAUCUGGCCAUGUACUGACGUUGAGACACGAAAGCGUGGGGAGCAAACAGG
rnacentral:rRNA from 1 species